UGGGGAAUAUAGGACAAUGGGCGAAAGCCUGAUCCAGCCAUGCCGCGUGUGUGAAGAAGGUCUUCGGAUUGUAAAGCACUUUAAGUUGGGAGGAAGGGCAUUAACCUAAUACGUUAGUGUUUUGACGUUACCGACAGAAUAAGCACCGGCUAACUCUGUGCCAGCAGCCGCGGUAAUACAGAGGGUGCAAGCGUUAAUCGGAAUUACUGGGCGUAAAGCGCGCGUAGGUGGUUUGUUAAGUUGGAUGUGAAAUCCCCGGGCUCAACCUGGGAACUGCAUUCAAAACUGACUGACUAGAGUAUGGUAGAGGGUGGUGGAAUUUCCUGUGUAGCGGUGAAAUGCGUAGAUAUAGGAAGGAACACCAGUGGCGAAGGCGACCACCUGGACUAAUACUGACACUGAGGUGCGAAAGCGUGGGGAGCAAACA
rnacentral:rRNA from 1 species